ensembl:lncRNA
GUGAGUCCCGAUCUGGCGGACCCGGGCGGAAGCGGGUGGGUGCGAGCCGGCCCAGGGAGGCGGGCGCUCAGGGGGCGGGUCCGCCUCCUUCUCAGGUGGGAGGGGGAAGGGCGCCGUGGGCAGUGCCUCGCCCCCUGCUGUCCUUCGCGACGCGGCCCCGGUGUCCUCCUGCGGUCCUCGCGGGUCGGACGAUCUCCGCGCGCAGGAAUUGGGCGCCUGCUGUUUGCCGGGAGUGCGGCCGAUCGCAGGACCCCUGAGAUCUCCCCGAGGAGCUCUGCGGACUCAGGCCUGGGCCAUUCUCCUGGAGGUGCAUGCCGGGACCCAGCAAUGGCCACCAGGACCCUGACGGCCGAGGACCAGGUGCUGCCCUCAACAUCCGGUUUGAUUCAGUCGUUCCAAAUCUGCCGAGUCAGAAUGUUCUAGCUUAAAGUGUGAGGCUCUUGACCCAUGACCUCUCCACCCCCAGACUUCUGACAGAAGGUGCCCCUCCACCGUGUCAAAUUGGCCCUUGCGGGAAUCAGUGACUUUCAAGGACGUGGCCGUGGACUUCACCCUGGAGGAGUGGGGCUGGCUGGGGCCUGGCCAGAGGGAGCUGUACCGGGACGUGAUGCUGGAGACCUACCAGAACCUUCUCUCACGGGGUGACGCCCCGCCCCCUGCCCUCAUCUCUGUUGUGCCCACCCGCUGCUGGACGGUGGGCCUUCCCUGGGGGUCCCCGUGGUGCCCUCUCUGCUCCUCUCGCCGGUCCCUCCCGAGUGGCCUCUGUCUGUGUCUCUGUCUCAGCGUCCCUGAGCCCCGAGUCCCCUGCUCGUCCCCACCAUCUUCCACCUGUGACCCCGCCCUCUUCUCAGGCUCCAAGAGCCCCCGAUGUACCCAGUCAACAGGCUCCAUGUUGGAAUCUUCUCCCCAAAGCGCAUACAUGCUGUUCCCCAAAGGUGUCUCGAGUCCUACACUUGUCCACCCGCCCGCGUCCUGACCCCCCGCGAGGCCCCUCACGUUCCCCACACUCACCCUGCGCUCACGUCUCCACGCUGACCUGCUCCUUCUGCUCCUCUGCUCCCCAUCUCUGGUUGGCUCCGCAUCCCCCAGAUUGGUUGGACCAGAGCCCCGGGCACCAUCCUCAGCCUCCCCUGCCCUCCCUGACAGCCCCCGACUCUCUGUGCCCACAGCCCCGCCCCGCUCAGGCCUUGUCCUCUCCCCGGACCCCCCUCCAGCCUCCUCUUGGGUCUGUCUCCUUCUCGCUCCAUCUCUUCCUUCUCAAUCCCUUUCUCCGGCUCCUCCGUCCCUCCCUUUCCCUGUAAACCACGGCUGUCCCCAAGGCUGCUCCCAGGCUCCGUGAUCCACUGGGAGGACCCACUGGCCUCAGUGUGUCAUCGUCCUCACCCCCGGAUUCAUCACAGCAAAGGGACACGGAGAAGUUGGUAGAGGGAUGGGACGCACGGGGUGAAGUCGGGGAGACCAGGCCUGCUUCCAGAGUCCUCUCCCCGUGGAGUCACACAGGCCGGCCCGAUUUCCCCCACGUGGAGGUGUGACCACACAUGGGAAAUGUCAACCGGGGACACUUGUUAGAGACCCGGCACCCAGGGUUUGACAGGGGCUGGUCCCAUAGGCCCCUCUGCCUGAUUAGGUCUUUGAAAUGGGGUGUGUAUUUCACACUCAACUUGAACAGCUCAGAGUAAGAGCCUUCAACAGGGACGGCAGAUCCGGGGCCUGGGGCCCGGCCCUGAGGCCUCCCUGUGACCAUGGCACCCACAGCCAAGUCUCGUGUCUUUUCCACGGGGAGGGCUUCCCGGGUCCAAACCGGAUAUGAUCUUCCGUCUGGAGCGAGGGGAGGA